CAGACAGAGGGGCCUGGCCCCUUCUGCACUGAUGGGAUGUCCUUUAAGUCUGAUAUUGUAGUGAAUUUCAAGAGUCAGAUUUUGUCCCCUAAAGUGAAUUUAUUUCCCAGAUCCACGUGCCAGUUUCCUUGAACAAAGCAACCCUCGUGAGGCAGGAAGGAGGGGCCUCUGUGCAGGAGUCUUACCUGGAGGAGAGCACCUCUCUGACCUUAGACCUCUCUCCAGAGCUUCAGAGCAGAGACAGAAGAGCCCAGAAAGAGCAGGUCCUAGAUUUGCAAGGUCAGAAGCUGUUCUGAUCCCCUUGCCCAGAAUGAGCCAGACUUGGUGAUGAUGCCACCUUCAGGAACCGCCACACCAUGUGACAGUGGGGGGUUUGUUUGUCCCUGAGCAGAGCAGAGGCUGCGCUGCUGUCAGACGUGUCCAUCACCACAUGUGACAUUAAUGACAUCAUCCUGACCUCGCAGGAUCCCAGAAUAAUGGUGCUUGAAGGAUUUUCCAAAGUCAUCUACUUGCAACUCUCUUGAAAACUUUAAAGACAUUGGCCUGAAAGUUUCAGUGACUUGUCCAGGGAAACCCGGUUUGUGACAGAGUCAGAAGGAAAACUGCAGUUCCCUCUCAGAUGAGUCACCAAAAGCAUCUUAUCAAAGGGGACUUCUCAGGAAUACAUCCCAGCUGAAACGAACAAUUAAAAAUUCCUGCCUUCAAGCAUCCCAUUUCUUUUCUGUGAAUUUUCUGUACCAAAAGCUGAGCCACAGUUCUCUACACUUGCCCAGGAGCCACAGAAAGUGAACAUCCCUCAGGUGUCGGUGUCAUUCAAGCACGUGCCUGUGGAGUUCCCCAGGAGGAGUGGCCGCAGGUGGAGUCUGCACAGAGGACCCUGUACAGAGACGUGGUGAAGCUGGAGAACUACAGUUGCCUUGUCUGGAACAGGAGUCUGGGAACAAGGAAAACAGUCCUAGAAGCAGAACAAGAGUAUGGGAUCACUCGUGGACAGUGCUGCCAUCUCAUUUGGACAGGUCGCUUCCUAGAUGUGCUGAGUGUGCAAAUUCUGUCUCCUUGUCUCAUCCAGUGUUUCUCUGAAUGGAAGCAAGUAUCUGGGCACCAGCCACCACUCCACUCAGCUCUUAAGCAGCUUUGACCUUGAAGACAUGGAUAUGGAUGAGAACAAGGAUCCACUUGGCACCUUUGGCCACUUUUGCUUCAGUGAACUGAGUGGGGUGUCCAAGAAGAAACCCUGGUGUUAGGAAGACGUCUAAGAAUGUUCCAAUGAUCCCCGCCUCCUGAUAUUCACACCUUUGGACUCUCUCCUGGCUUUAAUGAAGCAAGCUUCCAUGUUGGAGAGGCCCACAGGAGAAGGAACUGAGGAUUGCCUCCAGCCAACUCCAGCCCACAGCCACCAGGAAUUGAGGAUCUCAGUCCAACAGGCCUUGAGGAGCUGCAUCCUGCCAACAGCUAUAUAAGCAAGCUCAGAACUAUGUCCUUCUCCAGUUGAGCCUUCAGAUGAGACCCCAGCCCCAGCUGAUACCUUAAUUGCAGCCUUGUGAGAGACCCUGGAGCAGGGAACCCAGGUAGGCCUUGCCUAGACUCCUGACCCAGAAAAACUGAGUUAAUAAAUAUGUGUUUUUUUAAGCCACAAAAUUUUGGGGUAUCCAUUACAUAGCAAUAGAUAACACACCCCGAAAUUACUGUAACCUUGGUGUAAGAUAUAGCAUGGCUGGGAAGGCGGGCACCAAAUAGGAGGAUGCCCUCUCGGACAGUCUCCCUGGAGAAACUGUCUUCAUGCUCAAAGACUAUCCCCCAUCCUUUUAUGCUGCAGUGGUAGCAUUCUGCUCCACUAAGCCCAGAUCAGUCUCCAGGAGGCGAGGCCUAGGUAGUGUUGGGUGGAGUGCAUGGCCAGGACGGGGUCAUGAAGAGUGAUGAUGAGGUCAUUCUUCCCCUUCUCCUUUUUUUUCUUCCUUUCACAUUCACUCCACCGUUGCAUUUUCUUUACUCUCUGUUUCUUUUCCCCCCAUAUCCUGAGUGGCUGCCCGAUGACCAUUCCUUCAGAGAUGGCCAGGUGACCUCUUGGUCUUGCAAUACUGCUAUCAAGCUAGGCCUCCUGAAGAGGUUUACCUGAGGUGCGGCUCUUCCUGAUCUUCAGCGUCCCUCACAAGCUAGGAGACCUCAUUGUAGAUUUCAAAAUAUACCUUCUAGACAGAUUAAAACCCUACGUAUAACAGACUCUUCAGCAGGACCCACCCAGUUCCUAGACUCUGCCCUGGCUACUCCAGUGUCCACAAUCGCAAAACCCAUCCAUACACAGCCCCCCAUUGACUGCCCACCUGUGAGAGUCUCUGGAGUCAGCAACUUUUUCUAAAUGAAAAUAAGCAGCUGUUUUCAGUAAAAUAUUCCUAUCUCUUAUCAUUUUCAGAGCUACAAGUUCUAUUCUCCCUACUGUUCUGGGAAUGGUAGAGGAAGGGGAAAGGGGAACUGCUCCCCAUUUUCAUUAGGGUCAGGUGAGGAGUAGAGAUAUGGCCCACACCCCAGACUUCCUGAGGGAGAGAAGGACUCUUAGGAAACAGGUGACAUUUAUUCCUCACCAAGAGAUCCAAGAGCAACAUUUCCCCCUACCACUCACCUCAGGGCCCAACCACCUCACACUUCCAAUUCCAAAACUUU
rnacentral:lncRNA from 1 species